UCAAUGUGUUUGUCACUUUUCUCAACACAUGCAGACAUGUCCUGGGACCUCCUUGAUAGUUGGAGAUCUCAAUCCCCCAAUGUUGAACCCAAAGUUACGCCCUUGGUAUAAUGACAGCUGUAGAC